ACAAACUUGGUCAUUUAGAGGAAGUAAAAGUCGUAACAAGGUCUCCGUUGGUGAACCAGCGGAGGGAUCAUUACCGAGUUUACAACUCCCAAACCCACUGUGAACAUACCAUUGUUGCUUCGGCGGAACGCCCCGGCGCCGAUCCAGGCCCGGACCCAGGCGCCCGCCGGAGGCCCGAAACUCUGCUUCUGCACGUUUUCUCCUCUGAUUACACUUGAAAAUAAAUAAAAACUUUCAACAACGGAUCUCUUGGCUCUGGCAUCGAUGAAGAACGCAGC
rnacentral:misc_RNA from 1 species